GGGAACAAGACAAGCCCAGGGACCCAGCUCGGAAGCGGCAGAGCCAGGCUGAGAGCUCCGUGCCAGCCCUUCUCAGGCGCGUGGUCAGGCAGCCGGCGCUCCAGGGGUUUGCGGCAGCCCCACGGAGAGCACCCCCUCUGCCCUCACAGUCCCUACCUGGGCUCUGCUGCUGCCAGCCUGGACCAGCUCGCCAGAGUCGAUGGUUAAAUUUUCAGGAAUGUUGGUAGCUUGAAAUCGACCACGAUAGGAUUAUGAACGUCGUGGAAAUUGGCAAGUGCUACAAAUUAGAUUUGUUAUUUUUUUUUUUCCUGCUGGUUGUUGAACUUUUAUCAGCACGCCACUGCCCCCACCACUAUCAGCACAUGCUCUGGGUGGCACUGGAACCUUCUCAAACUGCCUAACACGCCCCUCCCGCCACCAGGCUGGGCAAGGGGAGGAGGAGGGAGCAGGCAGGGAGAUGCCCAAGGUCAGCGGUUGGGACGAGGGCUCUGGAGCCAGCCCCGGGUGUCGGGGACCGGAAGCCCUCCCUCCACCUCGCCACCGCCCUCCCUCCCACGCCUUCUGGGUCAUUCCUCCGGCCUCCCCCAGGUCCUCCACUUCAGGAUUAGAGAGAAAGACAAUUGCUAACUAGUUCCGCCCCAUGCAGUUCGCUACAACAAACCCACUGUCCUCCCGUCCAGCAUUAGGCAGGAGGGCCGAGGAGGAGAACGAAGGUUGGAUACAAUAAGCCAGCACCUGGCUGUGGACUGACUGCUCACAACAGGUCUGUGAGGUUCAGUGACCCCGCUUCUCAUGAGGAAAGAGGCUUGAAGAGGUGAAGAGCCUGGCUCAGGGACCUGCUUCUUCAAUGUAAGGUCUAGCUGCCACAUGAGAUUGGCCUCCUGGCUAAACCUUCCUUUUCCGGCCCAGGUGUCACCUCCCCCAGGAAGCCUUCCCGGACCUCCCCCAGUCCCAGUUCCCUCUAGUUACAGUGGACUGUGAAUGGUGACUUGUCUGCCCCUGCUGCUAGACAGACAGUUCCCUGGAGGCAGGGCCAGGGCUGUCCUCUGGGGCCUGAAAGAGUCACGGCACAUCGUUAUGGGGCCAGAGGAUGAGGAUUAAAAGACUGGGGCUGCUUCCCCACUUCAGCAGGCUGUAUAGGGUAAGAAUGAGAACUCCCACUCUGUGCUCGACUCCAAGGCAGCGGUGGACAAGAGUCUUCUGUAAAGGGCCAGAUAGUAAAUUUUUUUGGCUUUGCAGGCUAUAUAAUCUUUGUCACAACUACUCAACUCUACCAUUUUGACCGAAAGCAGCCACAGAAAAUAUGCAAAUGAAUGAGCCUGGUGAAGUCCCAAUAGAACAUUAUUGUAAAAAGCAGCAGGUAUUGAGGGAUGACCCCUGGGGAGUCAGCACUCUGCCUGCUACCUGCUCUAAAGGCUUCAAAUCUCAUUUAAUUCUCCCAACUCUAUAAGGAGGCAAACAUUAUUAUUAUCCUUCCCAUUUUGCAGAUAAAGAAACUGAGGUGCAGAGAGGAGGAGAGAUGACUCAUCCAAGGUCACACAGAGCACUCGGAACCACUCAGAACAGCGGCUGGGCAUCUUGGAGACCCCAUUCUUCCCCCAGACCGCCCCAUGCCGAGGACAUUACCCUUUAGCUGCUGGACUGUGGGCAGGCCGGGUGAUCCUGGGCAGCCGGUACUCUGCACGGCAUUAGCGACAGGCCGGGGACCUCGCUGGGCCCCUGGGCAGAGGAUAGAGGCACAGAAGUCAUGCAGGUACCAAAUCUUCGGUGGCAGACAGGACUGUCUCUCCCCUGUGGGUCCCUCGCUGCCUCUCUCUGGCCUGGCACCUGGGCAGCCCCUGAGGCUUGGCUCCAGCGGGUGAGCACAGGGAGGCAGGCCAGCUGAAGGGGCGCCUCACCCGUCAGCUGCUCCCCAGACACUGAAGGGACAUCCUGGACCUCGUCCCUCAAGGUGCGGCCGGAGGAGCCUGAGCCGCACCACUAAAUCUGUCCUGCUCACUGCUGCCCAAAGCUGCCCGCCAGCCACAGAAAACCUGCAAUUUCACCUCAUUUGGAGGUGAUGUUUCUAAAUUUAACGGCGUGCGCUCUCAGGGCUGGGCAGCUUUUAUGCCUGAGUCCCUCACUUAGGGCUCUUUUAUAUCCACUCAAAUGCCAGCCAGGGAUUAGUUUGCUUAUAGGAGUUUCCAAAAUAGCCCUUUGGUUUAGCAUGAAAGGAAAUGGCCAAAUAGCCCAGGAUGAGGAUGUGAGUUUACACGGAAGAGGGCUGGGCGUCCCGAGGAGGCUGCUGCGGGAACCAGACUGUCUGCAGCAGAGUCCAAGUCCCUCAUUUUACCGAGGGCCAGACCCGCCCGGAGCGGCCUGCCCAGGUCACCCAGAGCUGAAUGGAAGAGCCAGAAGGAUCCAACCACCCCAGCUCCCUGCUCCUCAGGUGGAGUCCCCCUCCAGGCCUUUGCCCUGGCUGUGCCCUUGACCUGCAUGCCCUACCCCUGGGUCUUCCAUGGCACUCAGGCCUGGACUCCAAGGUCACCUCCUCAGAGAGGCCCUCCCUGCCUGCCCUGGCUACGGUGGCCUCACCACUCACCCUGUUUCAAAUCCUUCAGAGAACGUCUCCCCGCCCCAGACUGUCUUAUCAGUUUGCUUGGUGAUCGUGUGUCCCUCACAAGAGUCUCAGCUCCAUGGGGUGGGGACUUCUGUCCUGUUCACAGCUGUGUGCCCACAGCCCCACCAAGCUGGGGGCCCCAGCAAGUGUUGGUUGAAAAAAUGAGUGAUUGAAGAACUGUGUCUGGAGUUCCCUCACAUGAUUUGCUCACACAACACACAUCUAUUGAGUGGCUACUGAAUACAAGCACGGGCCAUGCAGCCGUGAACUAGUCUGGUGGGGAACAAUUAGGACGCAAGGUGACGAGACUGUGCUGCUGUAGGGAACUAGCCGAGGCACAGGGAGCAGGCAAGGACCCCACACCCAGCCCAAGGGAAGAGACCUCUGGGGGAAGAGCUAUCAUAUGUUGAAAUCUGGAGGAGGAAUUGGCUAGGCAGAGAGCGAGGGUGGGAUGGAAGAGUGUGCCAGGUAUUAGGAACAGCAUAUGCAAUGGCUCAGAGGCAAGAGAGGAUCAAUUAGAGGAACAGCAAAAAGUUCAGUCGGUCUAGCUGGAGCAUCAGGUUACAAAAGAGGAUCCUUGAAAGGUGAGUUGGGGACCAGGCCCUACGGGGGUGUUUAAAUCGCAUCCAAGGAGUAGACAGGGCAGGCCUCCAGUCCUCUGGAUGUUGACAAUGGCACCCCUUUGAGUUCAUUCUCUCUUUCAAUAAACCCCACUGCCCUUUCGCCCAAGAAUGCUGUGUCCCAGUAAACAGUGAAUGAGUGCCUACUGCAUGCAGGGCCCCCACCGUUUAUGGGGAAAGCCACACAGGCUGUGUGGCCUCUGCCAGCUUGAGCUGGGUUUUGCCCUCUGCACACCGUCCGUGCUCCACCCCUCCCCUGCUUCCCCCCAAAAAAGGCCCAGCUAUUUGAAGGCACCCAGAGAGGGAAAAUCCUGCAGCUGGUCUGCCCAGGACAAAGGCCACACGGGCUCCCAUGCCUGCCAGCUUGGGCCCCUGUCUCUGUUGUCCCCUGGGCCGUGCUGGGUGACUCUCCAGAGCCAAGAUGUUUGGGGCCAGGAAUGAAAGAUCCAGAGAAUCAGGAGAAAGUGAUUCCACUGCAUGUGAUCUUGAACAAGAUCCCUCCCCUCUGAGCCGCUGUCUUCUGUCUAUAAAUGGGUGGAUCGGGCUAGAGCUCAGGUUCCCGACGUGCAGCCCACCCUGGGCCCAGGGAGGAAUGCACAGUGGACCCCAUGCCUCACUCGCUUGGCGUGUCCUUCUUACUUUAGUCCCCUUUCCAUCUGGCUCUCUGACACUUGUCACCCUUCCUGUUUAGCAGGGUACAGAGCUGGCCCCAGGCACAGAGCCGGAGACAGACAGAGGAGGGAGCCUGAAGGUAGUCGGGGUUUUGUUAGAUUUCACUUAAGGUAACCUUCCAUUUAGAGUAAACUGUCUUCUGUAUAAUUUAAAGUGUGUGGUUUUUUAAAAAUAAUAGUGUGUUUAAAUGAGAGUGACGGAUUUGAAGGACACUUAGAUUCCAUAGAGCACAUAGGAACCCACCUUCCUGGCAGCCCCCAUUCCUGGGUCCUGCCACCAGCUCUCAGGGACCACCAUUGGAAGUGGCUCUGGCUUCUGCUGUAGGAGAAGAACAAGCAACUCCUUGGGGACCCCCAGCUGUCCCUCCAGAGUUCACUGUCCCACAACUGCAGGUUAAGUGGAAACUUCCUGAUGGCCAGAUGGUGUAAGACCAGGCACGGGAGUCAGGAUCCGGGAUCCAGGAGGGUCCUCGGCCACAGUUUAUCAUGCAGUCCCCAGCCCCCUGUGUCCUUCCUGCCCAGGCAGGCCUGAGGGGAGCUCCUGUCCUUCUCCAACUCAGGCUCUUUAAGGACCAGUCAGAGAAAGGGACAGACAGGCCAUCUCACUGGACCUCACAGCAUACGUGUGCCCAUCUCGCAGGUGGGAACGCUGGGGUGCGGCCACAAAUGGCCAGUGCAAGGGGCAGGUUAGAUAACCCAUACAGAGGAGAUUAUGUGGCCAUUAGGAAUGUGGUUUUGAGGAAUAGCGACGCGGGAAAAUGUUUAAAAUAAGAUGUGAGUAAACCAGAGCGAGAUGUAAACUCUAUACAGCCUGGUCUGCUUUAUUUUUGAAACAAUACCUUACAAAUGUACUGCAAAGGACAUGUGUUCCCUCGUAAUUAGGAAAAAAUGUUAACUUGAAGAAAAUCAGGGAUUGACCAGACUGUCCUCAGUUGCACAGUCAGCAAGCCGCCCAGCUGACCUUGUGUUCUCCAGGGGAGAGAACGCUGCUUUUCAGGAUGAACCUGGGAUCAAAGGAGAAAAUUUCCUCUUAAAAGAAUUUUUUUUUAAGGACCACAGAUAUCGUCUGCACUCCCAGCUCACUCCACUGGAGUUUUAUGAAGUAGAGAUGACUCAUGAUUUUCUGUGAAACAUCCAGAGGGUGUUUUAAUUUAAACGGCCCCUGAUCACCACCCACGCACUCCCAUUGCCGGGUCGGCCAAGGGUCACCUGGAAGAGGCCGCGGUUCCAUUCACAGGGGAAGGAGCCUCCUGAGGCCAAGGCCAUGGGGAUGGGAGUUGGGGGUGUCCAGGGCAGGGGAGGAAGGUGGCUGGGCUGCCCGGAGAUGGGCGGUGAUGAAGCUGUGCCCCUGGGAAGCACAAGAGGACCAGCUGAAUCCCCUCUUAAAAGCCAUCCCGGAGUUCCUGUUGUGGCGCAGUGGAAAUGAAUCCGACCAGGCACCAUGAGGUUGCGGGUUUGCUCCCUGGCCUCGCUCAGUGGUACAGGUCUAAAUGUGGCUCAGAUCCCAUGUGGUUGUGGCUGUGGUGUAGGCCUGCAGCUGUAGCUCCGAUUUGACCCCUAACCUAGGAAUCUCCAUGUGCCACGAGUGCGGCCCUGGAAAAAAAAAAAGGAAAAAAAAAAAAAA
ensembl:lncRNA